CAGUGAACGGUCACCAGAGCAAGAGCAUGGAGUCCCUGGGUUUUGAACUGUGAGAUAAGGAAGAUGAUGAAAACCUCCCUAGCAGCCAGAGACAGGGUCUUGUUGUGUUGCCCAGGCUGGACUCAAACUCCUGGGUUCAAAUGAUUCUUCUGCCUCAGUCUCCCGAGUAGCUGAGACUACAGCCAGGUACUAUUCUAGAUUGUCUUGUGAUAUUUACAAUCUAGGAGAAGGCAGGAGAGAGAACUAAGAACAGAGAGCAUGUUCUGAGAUGUCUGCUGUGUUUGCAGACUUAGAUUUUUGGCUGGACUAUUGGCUUGGGAUAGAUGAAAAUCAUUCCUUGUAUCCCCUGAUCUUAAAGUCAAGACUGAACCAGCCUCCAGAUGCAAGCCUUCAUGGGGCUUCAGAUACCAUGAGGAAUGGGCGUCCCUGCAAUAUUGUCAUGGCUGUCAAAAGUGUUAUUGGAGCUGGAAACUCCUGGAGGGCAGAGCCAUGCCUGCCAUUUUCAUCAUUGCAUUACCACCACCCAGCACAGUGCCUGGUACAAAAGAGUUGCUCAAUAAAUAAAUCAGGAUGAAUGGACAAAUACACGGAUAGGCACUUUGAACUACAGAUGAGCUUAAAUACUUUGUGUUUUUCUUAGUCAAACAUGUGCAAUUAAGCAUGUGAUAAAUUAUAUGAUGACCACA
rnacentral:lncRNA from 1 species